CUUGAUCCUAGAUACAGACUUUUUCUUAGCGAUCUUCAAUCCGAAAGUACAAAAAAUUACUUGUGUCGUGCCUGGGAAGCCAUUCAGCAAUCUGGCAGCAACGACGGCACAGCACAGUCCGUUCCAAUCUUCUGACGAUGACAACGAGAUAGAACAGCUAUUGAUGGCAAAAGAAAAAGAACGCACAACAAUAAAACCCACUCGUGUUUCAAUCUCAUCUGUUUUGGAUAUGUAUUUCAGAGAAGCACGCCUUAAGAGGAAUACUGCUGCAUCGUUUCCCUCCAUCCCGCCACCACCACCAGGUUGGCCCCAUCCAUGCGGGAGUAGGCUCCACGCUGCCUUCGUCUUCGGCAGGAAUAGCUGCUGGAAUCUACAACUUCUGAUUCAAGCUAUAGAUGGGGCCUAUGCCAAAAUAAUUAUGUUCUUUAUAUUGGUUUUGUAAAUAAAUACUUUUGAGUUUUAUCUUCACCUCCUGAGUCUUUCUGGUAGAACUACAGACCAGUUUCCCUUCUACCUUUCAUUGCAAAAAUACUUGAACUAGUUGUGUUCAAACAAGUCUCUGCCUUUCUCACACAGAAUAACCUCCUGGACAGCAACCAAUCUGGCUUCAGAAGUGGACAGUCGACCAAGACUGCCUUGCUCUCAGUUGUUGAAGCCCUAAGACUGGCAAGAGCAGCUUCCAAAUCUGUCCAAAUCUUUAUUUGACCCUUUAACUCUAGCACUUACUUUCUAUUUAAAUUCUACUUUAUCUAUUUAUCAUCUUUUUUAUAAAAAAAAAAAAAAAAAAAAACAAAAAAAAAAAAAAACACUAGUUUUCUAUUUUUUUUUCUAUUCUAUCUACUUGGUUUUGUAUGCGUGUGAGUGUGUCUAUAUAAAUGUGUGUGUGUGUGUGUGUGUGUGUGUGUGUGUGUGUGUGUGCGUGUGUGUGUGUAUAACUCUUGUUAGUUUUGAUUGCUUCUAUUAUCCUCAUCUGUAAGUCACUUUGUAUAAAAGCAUCUAAUACAUGACUAAAUGUAAAAUAAAAUAAAAUAAAAUAAAAUAAAAUAAAUAGAUAAAUGCAUAGAUUUAUUAAAAAACAUUUAAAAAUGUGAAUGUUAUAUAAACAUUUGAGACACAGUGCAAAAAUAAUUUAAUGAAAAUUAAAACAAUAAUUUCAUCAAAAUGUGUUACAACACUUCCCAGUCUCCUCUAUGACUAACUGCUUGUGGAUUUCAUUAUUUUGUAUCCACAGACCUAAAAAUUACUGUGCAAUUAUUUUGUAAAGAUCUAUAUCCUUUCCUGAAAGUUUCUUUU
ensembl:lncRNA